AGGAUUGUUAGAAGAAGAAUCACUACUUUAUAAUUAACAUUGACAUUGUCACGAGAUCUACAAAAUCCAAUAUAAGACUUAACGCAUGGGCUUUAUAUUGAAACUCCGGUAGCUCAUACGAGGAAUGUUUCUAAGGCCCUGUGUUUAUCAAUGUUUUUUCUUCUCAUGUUUGGUAAUGUAAGAAAGUAACCAAGAAAUAUCACUUUAUUUUCUUUCCCAUG
rnacentral:lncRNA from 1 species